rnacentral:rRNA from 1 species
CGAAAGCGAGUCUGAAUAGGGCGCAUAAGUAACAGGUCGUAGACCCGAAACCAGGUGAUCUACCCAUGUCCAGGAUGAAGGUAAGGUAAUACUUACUGGAGGUCCGAACCCACGCACGUUGAAAAGUGCGGGGAUGAGGUGUGGGUAGCGGAGAAAUUCCAAUCGAACUUGGAGAUAGCUGGUUCUCUCCGAAAUAGCUUUAGGGCUAGCCUCGAGGUAAAGAGUCAUGGAGGUAGAGCACUGUUUGGACUAGGGGCCCUUCUCGGGUUACCGAAUUCAGAUAAACUCCGAAUGCCAUGUACUUAUACUCGGGAGUCAGACUGCGAGUGAUAAGAUCCGUAGUCGAAAGGGAAACAGCCCAGACCACCAGUUAAGGUCCCCAAAUAUAUGUUAAGUGGAAAAGGAUGUGGGGUUGCUUAGACAACCAGGAUGUUGGCUUAGAAGCAGCCACCAUUGAAAGAGUGCGUAAUAGCUCACUGGUCGAGUGACCCCGCGCCGAAAAUGUACCGGGGCUAAACAUAUUACCGAAACUGUGGAUGAACCUCUUUAGAGGUUCGUGGUAGGAGAGCGUUCUAAGGGCGGUGAAGUCAGACCGGAAGGACUGGUGGAGCGCUUAGAAGUGAGAAUGCCGGUAUGAGUAGCGAAAGAAGGGUGAGAAUCCCUUCCACCGAAUAUCUAAGGUUUCCUGAGGAAGGCUCGUCCGCUCAGGGUUAGUCGGGACCUAAGCCGAGGCCGAUAGGCGUAGGCGAUGGACAACAGGUAGAGAUUCCUGUACCAGUGCUAAUUGUUUAACCGAUGGGGUGACACAGAAGGAUAGGGAAUCGCACGAAUGGAAAUGUGCGUCCAAGCAGUGAGUGUGAGAAGUAGGCAAAUCCGCUUCUCGCGAAGCAUGAGCUGUGAUGGGGAAGGAAAUUAAGUACGGAAGUUCCUGAUUUCACGCUGUCAAGAAAAGCCUCUAGGAAGAGUAGUACUGCCCGUACCGCAAACCGACACAGGUAGAUGAGGAGAGAAUCCUAAGGUGAGCGAGAGAACUCUCGUUAAGGAACUCGGCAAAAUGACCCCGUAACUUCGGGAGAAGGGGUGCUCUAUUAGGGUGCAAGCCCGAGAGAGCCGCAGUGAAUAGGCCCAGGCGACUGUUUAGCAAAAACACAGGUCUCUGCAAAACCGUAAGGUGACGUAUAGGGGCUGACGCCUGCCCGGUGCUGGAAGGUUAAGAGGAGUGCUUAGCUUCGGCGAAGGUACGAAUUGAAGCCCCAGUAAACGGCGGCCGUAACUAUAACGGUCCUAAGGUAGCGAAAUUCCUUGUCGGGUAAGUUCCGACCCGCACGAAAGGCGCAACGAUCUGGGCACUGUCUCAACGAGAGACUCGGUGAAAUUAUAGUACCUGUGAAGAUGCAGGUUACCCGCGACAGGACGGAAAGACCCCGUGGAGCUUUACUGCAACCUGAUAUGGAAUGUUUGUACCGCUUGUACAGGAUAGGUAGGAGCCGAAGAGACGUGUGCGCUAGCAUACGAGGAGGCAAUGGUGGGAUACUACCCUGGCUGUAUGACCAUUCUAACCCGCCACGCUUAGCGCGUGGGGAGACAGUGUCAGGUGGGCAGUUUGACUGGGGCGGUCGCCUCCUAAAGAGUAACGGAGGCGCCCAAAGGUUCCCUCAGAAUGGAUGGAAAUCAUUCGCAGAGUGUAAAGGCACAAGGGAGCUUGACUGCGAGACUGACAAGUCGAGCAGGGACGAAAGUCGGGCUUAGUGAUCCGGUGGUUCCGCAUGGAAGGGCCAUCGCUCAACGGAUAAAAGCUACCCCGGGGAUAACAGGCUUAUCUCCCCCAAGAGUCCACAUCGACGGGGAGGUUUGGCACCUCGAUGUCGGCUCGUCGCAUCCUGGGGCUGUAGUCGGUCCCAAGGGUUGGGCUGUUCGCCCAUUAAAGCGGCACGCGAGCUGGGUUCAGAACGUCGUGAGACAGUUCGGUCCCUAUCCGUCGCGGGCGCAGGAAAUUUGAGAGGAGCUGUCCUUAGUACGAGAGGACCGGGAUGGACACACCGCUGGUGUACCAGUUGUUCCGCCAGGAGCAUCGCUGGGUAGCUAUGUGUGGCAGGGAUAAACGCUGAAAGCAUCUAAGCGUGAAGCCCCCCUCAAGAUGAGAUUUCCCAUUUCUUCGGAAAGUAAGAUCCCUGAAAGAUGAUCAGGUAGAUAGGUUUGGAGUGGAAGUGUAGCGAUACAUGGAGCGGACAAAUACUAAUCGAUCGAGGACUUAACCAAAA